UUAAAUGGAUGAAAUAUGAAGUUUUAUUAAAAGAAAAAGGGGUGAAAAGAACAAAGUUUUGUCCAUCUUUGUUCAUCAUAGCUGAAAGUUAGAGAAGAGAAAGGAGAGGAGAAAGCUCUUGAGUAUUCGGUCAUUAGGAGGAGGAAAAUUGAAGGAAAUCCCCAACCAUAGUGGGCUUGGAGCUGUGAGGGAAUUCGGAGUGGCCACCUGUUCUAAAAGUUUGAUUUUCUUCUGGUGAACUGGACAUCCUUUUAUUUACGUUUGAAGUUUUGGGUUUUUAAAUGUAAUAAGGCCGCUUAAUUAUUUUUGAUGGUUUUUAUAUGUAUUACUAAGAUAGGUAUUACUUAUUUUAAUUGUUGAAA